CGCGGGGUAGAGCAGUUGGUAGCUCGCCGGGCUCAUAACCCGGAGGUCGUGGGUUCAAGUCCCACCCCCGCAACCA
rnacentral:tRNA from 1 species